rnacentral:rRNA from 1 species
GAUGAACGCUGGCGGCGUGCCUAAUACAUGCAAGUCGAGCGAAUAGACGAGGAGCUUGCUCCUCUGACGUUAGCGGCGGACGGGUGAGUAACACGUGGAUAACCUACCUAUAAGACUGGGAUAACUUCGGGAAACCGGAGCUAAUACCGGAUAAUAUAUUGAACCGCAUGGUUCAAUAGUGAAAGACGGUUUUGCUGUCACUUAUAGAUGGAUCCGCGCCGCAUUAGCUAGUUGGUAAGGUAACGGCUUACCAAGGCAACGAUGCGUAGCCGACCUGAGAGGGUGACCGGCCACACUGGAACUGAGACACGGUCCAGACUCCUACGGGAGGCAGCAGUAGGGAAUCUUCCGCAAUGGGCGAAAGCCUGACGGAGCAACGCCGCGUGAGUGAUGAAGGUCUUCGGAUCGUAAAACUCUGUUAUUAGGGAAGAACAAAUGUGUAAGUAACUAUGCACGUCUUGACGGUACCUAAUCAGAAAGCCACGGCUAACUACGUG